AUGACCUUUGCAAUAACCGGACACACCCUGGGAUCAGUAAACCAGGGUUGAGAAUUGCUGACUUUAUGAGCACCUGACUUGUAAAACAAAAGCCCGGUUUGGGGCUCUGCCUGGGACCCAUUCUCACGUCAGGCGGGAGGCAACACAGCCCAGAAGGACCUGGUUCUGCCUCUCCUGCGUCAUCUUGGGGUCACAGUAUCCGUGAUUAAUAUUUCUGGAGGCCUUUAGUUUGAGAUUCUCAGGGAUUCACAUCAGUUGGAACUUUGGGAGAAUGUACCAGCAUAUCCUAAGCAAUCCUUGCCUUGCACAGAGCAGUCAAUACUGAGUGACUUAAUUUGAACACCCCAAGAAAACUCAUUAUAUAUACUGAGAAUAAUUCAGUACUGUGUACACUCAGUGAGCUCUCCUAGUACGGAAACCUCAAAGAAGCCAUGAAAAGCAGUUCUGGUGACAACGGAAAAUAAGGCAAGCUCCUGCCAAGUAAAUACUUUGCAAACGGUAAAAGCGGAACGUGUAAACUCGUGACCAGGGCCUUAUCGGUGCAUUUCGCGAAUGUCUCACAGAACCCGAAAUGGAGAAUUGAGGCUCAACUCCCGGGUGAAGAGCGUCCCUUUAAGAAGGGACUGUACCAGCUGGCCAAACUAGAGCUCCCCGUGAUUUUCUGGCUUGCCUCCUGGCUCCACCCCCCAGUCUCUGGCCUCAGCAACGCGUGACGUUAGAGGAAGCUGAAGCUGCCGAUUGGCUGAGCGACGCUGCUAGGUCAAGUCCAGUCAGAGGAAAGAAGUUUGUCUCCAUGUGGAAACCAUGUGUCUCUAGCUGGGAGGGGGAAGAGGAGAAGGCGGAGAAACUGAGAUCAAGUGAUUACAGGAGAACUGGCUGAAAUGAAAGCGGGGAGAUUGUGCACCUGAGCCGGCCAGUAAUGCCCUUUGCAGUAGUGACCUAAGAAAACAAACAAACAAAAAAACCUUGCCCAACUAACAAAACUUGAGCCCCCCCGGCCCAAUCAUAAAAAUAAUUAAAAAGCUAGGGUCCUUGCUUCCUUCCAAAAACCAGGGACCUGAGAAACGCUGUAAUCCUAUCGGAACGCCUAGAUUCCCCUCCCUCCCCCAACGACUGAAUGAUGUAAGCGUUUCGGAAAGCGGGGCUCUGAAGCAAAACAAGUCCUGCGCGCGCGGAGGGACCCUCAGUGCCCGAACCCGACGCACGCACGACCCGCCCCCCGACUCGCAUUAUUGCUGUGCACACGCGGAGCGCCGUGACGCGCGGGCAUUGUGUGCAGCGAGCAGAAAACAACGGCGAGCGCUGCCAGCGCGAAGAAGCACCCCUAAUAAAAUGAGGCAGAUGUAGGGCCCGCUGUUUUCCGUACUAGGAGACCGAGAUGGGCGGGAGGCGGGGCGAGAGUGGGGAAAAUAAAGUGGCCUCCGUGGGCCGCUCCAAUUUUAAGGGGAGAUAAUAGAGGGCCCUGCGGAUGGUCGCCCCAUAGUUUGCUGGAGGUCACCCUCGCCUGCGUGAGCUGUUGGGGAGGGGGCAAGGGCCUCGAGCGGAGUUCCCGCUCUCGGGGAAAUCUGGGGGCCGCUGGCAUCACGUCAUGCUGAGCCAAACAGCGGCUGCGAAAAGAGGCAAGAGAGCUAAAAAUACUCCCGCGGGGAGCCGGCCGAAGGAGGGGGGCAGCGGGGCCGAGGGGCUGAUUACGCACACGAAGUUGACUUCGAUUGGGGCGCCCAGGUUCCCGAGCCCCUCUCGGGGUCUUGCAGCGCGGACACCUCGGGAAAGGGACCAGGAGGAAGCCCCUUGGCUUCCACGGUCUCGGGAGCCUGGCUCCGCUGCCGCUGGCCCGCCCGGUGCGGGGCAGCCCGGCCCAGCGCGCCCGGCCCUCUGCUUACGUGACUGGUGGCCACGCCAGAGCCCCGGCACCGGUAAACAAGGAGGUGGCGGCGGCCGAGGCGGCCUGGGGAGCGAGGGUGGGGGCGGCGAGGUGGGGAGCAGAGGUCUCCGAUUGUCUGCGAGUGCGAGGGGCGGGGGGCGAGGGAUGCGGUGGAAGCUCCAGCAGCCUGUUUAGUACACCCUUCUGUAGAGGGGGUCGGAGGGGGCCAACCAGGUUUGCCACACACUGCCAAGGUGCCCUCUUUGGGUGCACCCCCGGCCAGAGCCGGCGCCACGGGACAGACUCAGGGGAACAGGGCACCCGGGCGGGGGAUAGCGUAAGAAAUCACGCCCCUUCCCCUUCCAACAAAAGCGAACACACCAAACAAAACCACGUCUUCCCCCACCUCCCCACCAGCUCUGGCUUUUCAGAAACUACCCUAUUGACGAAUGCACACUGCCCCCCCCCCCAAAAUCCCAUGAAUAAUCGCAAACAUUCAGCUACACAGCCGACGAUGCGCCUUUCUCGCAACCCAGGCACUCCGAGAAAACAGGAGAGAAGAAAAGAACGCACCACCGACCACGCUACACAAAUCCUUGUUUUUGCCUUAAGCUACUGCACGAUUUCGCUGCCAUCACACGGUUACUUUAACCCCGAAGGCCUGGGGUGUCGGUCAGCUAAGGUGUUUUUGUGUUUGAGGGUUGUUGUUGUGUUUGGGGGAGGGGGAGUAGGUUGCAAGAUCUGACACGUUGCAAUCGGACCCUUUCUUUCUUUUCUUUCUUUCUUUCUUUCUUCCUUUCUUUCUCUCUCUCUCUCCUCCUCUCUCUCUCAUCUCAUUGAUCUUCCUACUUGUUCGGACAGAUUAAACAGCCUGCUUUUCUCUACUCUGUCAGUCUAUAUUCCUCGGCCCCUUCGCCCUUCUCGCAGCUAUUAUUUGUGAGGACCGUGCUGGAAACGCCGCACACGCGUGCCCCCGUUAACGGCGCUGAGCGACUGCCUGGGGAGGAUGGGGGAACCCAGUUGGCAGAGGCAAAAAUGAAACAAACAAAUACAAAAAGGAGGCCAGGCCGGGGUGGGGCUCCCAGCACCACCACCCCCAAGCAUCGCUCUCCACCUGAAUCUGGGGUGGGGGGGGAACAGUAGAAAUCCACGAGGAAGGCAUUUGCCUUCCUCGCCCAGCGCGCUCACUCGGGAGCCGUA